rnacentral:ncRNA from 1 species
UUUAACGAGAGUUUGAUCCUGGCUCAGGAUGAACGCUGGCGGCGUGCCUAACACAUGCAAGUCGAGCGAAGCACUUUACCUGGAUUUCUUCGGAAUGACGGGUGAUUUGACUGAGCGGCGGACGGGUGAGUAACGCGUGGGUAACCUGCCUCACACAGGGGGAUAACAGUUAGAAAUGACUGCUAAUACCGCAUAAGGCCACAGCACCGC